rnacentral:rRNA from 1 species
GACGAACGCUGGCGGCGUGCUUAACACAUGCAAGUCGAACGGAAACGCCCUACUUGCGUGCGCUGAUCGAGCGCCGAACGGGUGAGUAACACGAGAGUAACCUGACCUUGAUUUUGGGAUAACUUCAGGAAACUGGGGCUAAUACCGGACAGGAGCUCCUCCUGCAUGGUGGGGGUUGGAUAGUUUCGGCGGUUGUGGAUGGAUUGGCGGCUGAUCAGCUUGUUAGUGGGGUAGUGGUUUACCAAGGGUUUGACGGGUAGCCGGCCUGAGAGGGUGACCGGGGACAUGGGGACUGAGGGACGGAGCAGACGCCAAUGUGGGACAGUAGUGGGGAGUCUGAUACAGUGGGAGGGAGCCGGAUGAGGAAGCGCCGCGUGCGGGAUGACGGCCUUCGGGUAGAGAAACGCAGUAGGUUGAGACGAAGCGGGUGUGACGGUAAUGGGUAAAGAAGCACCGGCUAACUACGUG